GCCCCAUGGGGCGCAGCAGGCGAGAAAACUUUGCAAUGUGCGAAAGCACGACAAGGUUAAUCCGAGUGGUUUCUGCUAAAGGAACCUUUUGUCGGUCCUAGAAACACCGAUGAAUAAGGGGUGGGCAAGUUCUGGUGUCAGCCGCCGCGGUAAAACCAGCACCUCAAGUGGUCAGGAUGAUUACUGCGCCUAAAGCAUCCGUAGCCGGCGCUGUAAGUUUUCGGUUAAAUCUGUACGCUCAACGUACAGGCUGCCGGGAAUACUGCAGCGCUAGGGAGUGGGAGAGGUAGACGGUACUCGGUAGGAAGGGGUAAAAUCCUUUGAUCUAUUGAUGACCACCUGUGGCGAAGGCGGUCUACCAGAACACGUCCGACGGUGAGGGAUGAAAGCUGGGGGAGCAAACCGGAUUAGAUACCCGGGUAGUCCCAGCUGUAAACUAUGCAAACUCAGUGAUGCAUUGGCUUGUGGCCCAUGCAGUGCUGCAGGGAAGACGUUAAG
rnacentral:rRNA from 1 species